GCAUUCUUAUUUAAUUUCCUUUCAUUACAGGUUAGCGGAAAAUUCGUUGAAGAUACAGAACUGAGGAGAAAUAUGCAAUUUAAGGACAUGUUUUGCAGGAUGUUGGUGUGGCAUCUGCGCCACGCAAUUGCUCUUUAUUUAUGCAAUGGCGUCAGGAGAUGGAGACGGCAUCAUAAAAUUGUCGGUUUUUUGUAUCUAUAAUCGCAAAAGUUGGCGAUUUUGUUUUGCUAUAGUGAGGCCCGUCUCCUGAUUUACGUGCGCAUCAUCGGCAGGAUGAGGGCGAAUUUUUGUAUCUGCUGGAUUGCCUGUCAGGUUGUCGGGAAGUCAUUGAGAAAACGGUAUUGCGGAGAUUUAUACAAUUUGGAGACGGAUUUUAAUUCAUUUUAAUAUGAAGUUUGUUCCGGGAUAGUGAUCCUUGUGAGUGCAGUGGCAUCAGGAGAUGGAGACGGCGUUGUAAGGUUGUCAGUUUUUUGUGUUUAUAAUCGCGAAAGGUGGCGAUUUUGUUUUUCUUUUGCGGAGCCGGUCUUCUCUUGAUGGUUGUGUUGGAUCACCAGUUGGCUCUGGUUAUUGAGGUUUUAGCGUCAACUAAUGUAGGCGCUCGUCGAUCUGGAAGAUUAUCAGAGUAGCAGGAAGGAUAGAUUUUGCUGCUCCGCGCAAGGUGCCCUGAUCGGAGCAUAGGCAGCUUAUAUGGCCCGUCAAUUGCAGCGCAGCACUGCAAGUAGAUUGUAUCGGUGAUAAGGGAUACUACCAGGGACUGUGUGGCGAAGAAAGUUCAGUUGGUUUUCUCCGCAUCGUUUCGUCAGGAUCAGCUGGAGUGCGUUGUCUUAGGAUUGCUCAUCCGGAUGCGUUGAGAUAAAUUAGGCUGCGUCGAGAAGGGUGGUGACAGUGGAGGAGGUUUAUAAGCAGACAGACGUGCGCUUUUCCAUCGGAUAAAGAUAUCGUUUAUUUAGAUGUAAGAGGAUAUAGAUUUAAUUUGAUGUGUCCAUGUCAAGAUUAUUGUUUCUUAUUUGUAAGAUUAAGGCCAUUAAAAUGUCAAUUUUCUUUUCUAA